AUUGAACGCUGGCGGCAGGCCUAACACAUGCAAGUCGAGCGAGAGUCGGACGGGUGUGUAAUGUAUGGGGACUGCCCGUUAGAGGGGGAUAACUACUGGAAACGCUAGCUAAUAUCGCCUAUGACCGGAUAUUCCAUAUGGGAUUAGCUAGUGGGUGUGGUAAUGGCUCACCUAGGCGACGAUCCCUAGCUGGUCUGAGAGGAUGAUCAGCCACACUGGGACUGAGACACGGCCCAGACUCCUACGGAGGCAGCAGUGGGGAAUAUUGCACAAUGGGCGCAAGCCUGAUGCAGCCAUGCCGCGUGUAUGAAGAAGGCCCUAGGGUUGUAAAGUACUUUCAGUCGGGAGGCGUUACCGACAGAAGAAGCACCGGCUAACUCCGUGCCAGCAGCCGCGGUAAUAC
rnacentral:rRNA from 1 species